UGUGCUUUCUUGCUUAAUAUUUCCUGGAAAAUAAUAGUUUUAUUUUUUCCGGUUGUUUUUUUUUUCUCUCUGCUCUCUUUCUUCCUCUUUAUUUGCAUAGAAAAUGCUGUGAGGGUAAAGACGACUGCUUGGGGAGGUGGAGGGCUGGGGUCGGUCACAACACACGGUGACCGGUCAGCUCCAUUAUUGCUGAAUAUACUUCUCCGAGACGAGACAUACCAGCAGCUUCAUGAUUCAUUUGCCAUCCUUUGUGAGCCCUCACUCGAAUAACCUUGCGUGGGACUUUCCAGAGAGCCGAAGCCCGGUCAGAGGUCAUCCUUCCGAAAGCCAGGCACCUGAAGAAUCAGCGUGCAUGUAGACUGUGGCUGCCCUGGUGCCGCAGUGCUCGUCCUUGAGAGACUCAACCCUGCUCUUUGGGACCGUACUUCAUGACACAGUGCUGUUGGCUUUCAAGACGUUGAGCAAAGUCAAUGGACGGAAGGUGCCCCAUUGCACAGAAGUUCAAACCCAAGUGGGAAUACUCACAGCAAAGG